GGAGGUGUGAGAAGGUCAUGGAAACAAGUGAAUGAAAGAUUGAAAUUAUUUGAUGUGUUUUAAAUUGCUUUUGUUUUUUUUUUUUUAGUUUAAAUUGUUUUUGUUAGUUUAGUGUUAGGUAUUGUUUUUGUAUUGUAUUCUAUUGUUUAUUUUCUUUUUUUAUGUAAUGUCUAAUUUGUUGGAAAGUAAUAAAUAUUAUUUUAAAAAAAAACAAUAUUUCUCUCAUACAUAUUAAAUGCCUGAAGGAGCACUUUUUUAAAAAAAGAAAGAGAAAUAAUAAUAAUAUUCCAUACCUUCAUUUUUAUGUUUCAUUUCUACGUUCUAUGUCCUCAUUUCUAUGUUUUCAUGGCAUAAAAGAAGGGAUGAAAGACCAGAAUUACUCAGGAUUUGUUAUGUUUUACUGUCAUUUUUGUAUUUAAGGGGAAAAAACACUUUUGACAGGUAUUUUAGUAUUUAUACCUUAUGACUCAUUCCAGCCAGCAGAGAAGAACUUAAAACACAGAACAAAAUUGCCAUCUAUAAUUGAAAUGGGCAGCAUUACCACUGCAAAGUACUUUUAUGUUUCAACUCUAUUAGGAGGAAAUUAGGGAGAUAUCCCAUCAGUGUUAUUGUUUACUUUAUAAUGAGAACAAGAGCAUAAAAAUAUAAUCAGCAUGAAUGCAGAGCAGAUCCAGAAACGGAUUAAAUUGACUGUAUCAGGAUCUCAAGAGUGUAGCUUGUGAUCACUGACAAGUUGAGUCCAUGCGAAGCUCCUACGAGAUGAAGCCCCUGAUCCAAAUAUGUUCCCAUGUACAGGAACAUAUUCUGUGUGUGCUACUGUGUGCAAGGACCUGUAUCUUUAUACGCUAACCAACAGAUGAUCAGCGCUGUCAUUUCUGACAGUACUAACCAGGUAUUCAAAGAUGACUGGAUCCCAAAAAACAGGCAACUGGAUCUUUCAAAGCUAGGAGCACUGUUUAUUCAUUGAGCAAUAGCUUUUCCCACUCUUUAUAACUUUUUAAUAUGCUUUUUUAUUGUAUGGUUUUGUUGCUGUAAAACCACUUUGAUUUCUUCCUUAUGACAUAGAAGUAUAUAAAUAUUUUUAUAAAUAAAUAAACUGAGCUGCAUCCGGUUUAUCUGCACAUCGAAGCCUUCUUCCAUUUCUCAACGGACUGGGGUGGAUGAGGGCUGUGUUCCAAUGUGGAAAAUAUGCUAAUUUGUAUAGAAUGGUUAACAAACUUAAAAGCUAUGCAAAUACAGCCAAGCACUUAAUACCUCAGCUAGUCUGGCAGUGAAAUGGUCUAGUGUCUUUUGUAGACCACUGUGAGAUGGGCACCUGUUAAUGAGAGAAUACAGUGAGAUGUAGUAAAAUCCCUAAAAGUGUUUACUAUUUUGUGUGUAUCCAACGCAUGUGCGACCACCAAGGUGCAGGUCCUUUUUGGACCCAAACCUACAUUUCAUUUCAUUUCAUAUCAUUUCCUUUUUUAAAAAACAAAAUGCCCACUUAUGGGGCUUAGAAGGUUUAAAAGUACUGAAUUUCACAAGGUGAUACUUAACAGUACUGCCUUAAAAUUCAUCAAGGAGACUAAAGAUUUGGUUUUUUUUGAACCUCAGCUGUAAAAGCAGGCAGAACUGCCUUGAAACUAAAAGCCCAUCAUCUUGGCAGCAUAGCCAACAAAAGAUUGAACUUUUGCUUAAACUGAUCACCUGAUUGAUCUCAACUCGAUUUUUAUCAGCAGUGGAUUGGAUAUCCCUGAGAUUCAUCAAAAAGCCUUUUUCCGGUCCUGGCAACAGCAAUGACAACAAAAUCAUACCAUAUUUACAGUAAAGAAAUGUGACUUGGAGAAAGACACGCCUUGUUUUCUUAGAUCAUAUACCCUAUCCUCUGCCCUCAAGGCUUCGUUUCUGUAACACAUCGGAGCUCCGAAUAGUGUAAAUACAAAGUGAUACUGGAAAAAACAUUGUCAAAACAUUUAGACAUAUGUGAUGGUGGCCUUCAGCAGGGGUAAGGAUUUUAUGGGAGAAACCUUGAAAGAUGACACUAUCACUAGCUCAGCUGCUGAGUCUAAUGCAUGUGUUUUUAGAAAGCAAAACCUCUCCUAUGACUAACAUGGCACACGCUUGUCCCUUUGCUCUGUUUUGCACAAAGGGGAGUUCAGCUACAAUCCUAGCAGCAUUUACCAGUAAGUUCCAUUAGGAUUUACCUUUGAUUGGUUAUGCCUACAAUUGCGCUGUCACUGUCAAACGUACAUCAUCCUGCAGCACAAUUAUAUGCAUUUCUACUCAGAAGUAAGUCCCAUUUGGCUCAGGGGGGCUUACUCCCAGGUAAGUGUGUACAGU